GACGAACGCUGGCGGCGUGCUUAACACAUGCAAGUCGAGCGGUAAGGCCCUUUCGGGGGUACGACGAGCGGCGAACGGGUGAGUAACACGUGGGUGACCUGCCCUCAGCUCUGGGAUAAGCCCGGGAAACUGGGUCUAAUACUGGAUAUGACUCCACGGUGCAUGCCGUGGGGUGGAAAGCCUUGUGCGGCUGAGGAUGGGCCCGCGGCCUAUCAGCUUGUUGGUGGGGUGAUGGCCUACCAAGGCGACGACGGGUAGCCGGCCUGAGAGGGCGACCGGCCACACUGGGACUGAGACACGGCCCAGACUCCUACGGGAGGCAGCAGUGGGGAAUCUUGCGCAAUGGGCGAAAGCCUGACGCAGCGACGCCGCGUGAGGGAUGACGGCCUGU
rnacentral:rRNA from 1 species